rnacentral:rRNA from 1 species
AACGAACGCUGGCGGCAUGCCUAACGCAUGCAAGUCGAACGAGACCUUCGGGUCUAGUGGCGCACGGGUGCGUAACGCGUGGGAACCUGCCCUUAGGUUCGGAAUAACUCCCCGAAAGGGGUGCUAAUACCGGAUAAUGUCUUCGGACCAAAGAUUUAUCGCCUUUGGAUGGGCCCGCGUUGGAUUAGCUAGUUGGUAGGGUAAAAGCCUACCAAGGCGACGAUCCAUAGCUGGUCUGAGAGGAUGAUCAGCCACACUGGGACUGAGACACGGCCCAGACUCCUACGGGAGGCAGCAGUGGGGAAUAUUGGACAAUGGGCGAAAGCCUGAUCCAGCAAUGCCGCGUGAGUGAUGAAGGCCUUAGGGUUGUAAAGCUCUUUUACCCGGGAUGAUAAUGACAGUACCGGGAGAAUAAGCACCGGCUAACUCCGUG